GACGAACGCUGGCGGCGUGCUUAACACAUGCAAGUCGAACGGAAAGGCCCUGCUUUUGUGGGGUGCUCGAGUGGCGAACGGGUGAGUAACACGUGAGUAACCUGCUCUUGACUUUGGGAUAACUUCAGGAAACUGGGGCUAAUACCGGAUAGGAGCUCCUGCUGCAUGGUGGGGGUUGGAAAGUUUCGGCGGUUGGGGUUGGACUCGCGGCUUAUCAGCUUGUUGGUGGGGUAGUGGCUUACCAAGGCUUUGACGGGUAGCCGGCCUGGGAGGGUGACCGGCCACAUUGGGACUGAGAUACGGCCCAGACUCCUACGGGAGGCAGCAGUGGGGAAUAUGGCACAAUGGGCGGAAGCCUGAUGCAGCAACGUCGCGUGCGGGAUGACGGCCUUCGGGGUGUAAACCGCUUUCGCCUGUGACGAAGCGGGAGUGACGGUAAUGGGUAAAGAAGCACCGGCUAACUACGUG
rnacentral:rRNA from 1 species